rnacentral:rRNA from 1 species
AUACGGAGGAUGCAAGCGUUAUCCGGAUUUAUUGGGUUUAAAGGGUGCGUAGGCGGUUUGCUAAGCGGGAGGUGAAAUGCCGGCGCUCAACGUCGGAAGUGCCUCCCGAACUGGUGGACUGGAAUGACUCUGCCGUGGGAGGAAUGUGUAGUGUAGCGGUGAAAUGCUUAGAGAUUACACAGAGCACCGAUUGCGAAGGCAUCUCACGAAGGGUUGAUUGACGCUGAGGCACGAAAGCGUGGGGAUCAAACAGGAUUAGAUACCCUGGUAGUCCACGCAGUAAACGAUGAUGGCUAACCGCUGGUUUUUUCGGAUCAGUGGCCAAGCGAAAGCGAUAAGCCAUCCACCUGGGGAGUACGACCGCAAGGUUGAAACUCAAAUGAAUUGACGGGG